GGAGAGACUCUCCUAUGGGUGCAGGUAGCGGUCCCGAAAACCGUGCGGCGGCGACGAGCCGUCGUGGGAGUUCGAAUCUCCCUCUCUCCG
rnacentral:tRNA from 1 species